AACGAACGCUGGCGGCAUGCCUAACACAUGCAAGUCGAACGAGACCUUCGGGUCUAGUGGCGCACGGGUGCGUAACGCGUGGGAAUCUGCCCUUAGGUUCGGAAUAACUUCGGGAAACUGAAGCUAAUACCGGAUGAUGACGUAAGUCCAAAGAUUUAUCGCCCAAGGAUGAGCCCGCGUAGGAUUAGCUAGUUGGUGAGGUAAAGGCUCACCAAGCCGACGAUCUGUAGCUGGUCUGAGAGGACGACCAGCCACACUGGGACUGAGACACGGCCCAGACUCCUACGGGAGGCAGCAGUGGGGAAUUUUGGACAAUGGGCGCAAGCCUGAUCCAGCAAUGCCGCGUGCAGGAUGAAGGCCUUCGGUUGUAACUAGCUUUGUAC
rnacentral:rRNA from 1 species